rnacentral:rRNA from 1 species
ACGCUCGACACCUACGGAGGCAGCAGUGGGGGAUAUUGCACAAUGGGGGGAACCCUGAUGCAGCGACGCCGCGUGAGGGAAGAAGGUUUUCGGAUUGUAAACCUCUGUCCUCAGGGAAGAAGAUGACGGUACCUGAGGAGGAAGCCACGGCUAACUACGUGCCAGCAGCCACGGUAAUCUGAGCGGGCUGGCAAGGC